GACAGAGGGUGCAAACGUUGUUCGGAAUUACUGGGCGUAAAGCGAGUGUAGGCGGUUUGGUAAGUCGGGUGUGAAAGCCCUGGGCUCAACCCAGGAAGUGCACUCGAUACUGUCAGGCUAGAGUAUCGGAGAGGUUGGUGGAAUUCUCGGUGUAGAGGUGAAAUUCGUAGAUAUCGAGAGGAACACCGGUGGCGAAGGCGGCAACCUGGUCCUUUACUGACGCUGAGGCGCGAAAGCGUGGGGAGCAAACAGG
rnacentral:rRNA from 1 species